ACGAGUGGCGGACGGGUGAGUAACACGUGGGUAACCUGCCCUUAAGUGGGGGAUAACAUUUGGAAACAGAUGCUAAUACCGCAUAGAUCCAAGAACCGCAUGGUUCUUGGCUGAAAGAUGGCGUAAGCUAUCGCUUUUGGAUGGACCCGCGGCGUAUUAGCUAGUUGGUGAGGUAAUGGCUCACCAAGGCGAUGAUACGUAGCCGAACUGAGAGGUUGAUCGGCCACAUUGGGACUGAGACACGGCCCAAACUCCUACGGGAGGCAGCAGUAGGGAAUCUUCCACAAUGGACGCAAGUCUGAUGGAGCAACGCCGCGUGAGUGAAGAAGGCUUUCGGGUCGUAAAACUCUGUUGUUGGAGAAGAAUGGUCGGCAGAGUAACUGUUGUCGGCGUGACGGUAUCCAACCAGAAAGCCACGGCUAACUACGUGCCAGCAGCCGCGGUAAUACGUAGGUGGCAAGCGUUAUCCGGAUUUAUUGGGCGUAAAGCGAGCGCAGGCGGUUUUUUAAGUCUGAUGUGAAAGCCCUCGGCUUAACCGAGGAAGCGCAUCGGAAACUGGGAAACUUGAGUGCAGAAGAGGACAGUGGAACUCCAUGUGUAGCGGUGAAAUGCGUAGAUAUAUGGAAGAACACCAGUGGCGAAGGCGGCUGUCUGGUCUGUAACUGACGCUGAGGCUCGAAAGCAUGGGUAGCGAACAGGAUUAGAUACCCUGGUAGUCCAUGCCGUAAACGAUGAAUGCUAGGUGUUGGAGGGUUUCCGCCCUUCAGUGCCGCAGCUAACGCAUUAAGCAUUCCGCCUGGGGAGUACGACCGCAAGGUUGAAACUCAAAGGAAUUGACGGGGGCCCGCACAAGCGGUGGAGCAUGUGGUUUAAUUCGAAGCAACGCGAAGAACCUUACCAGGUCUUGACAUCUUUUGAUCACCUGAGAGAUCAGGUUUCCCCUUCGGGGGCAAAAUGACAGGUGGUGCAUGGUUGUCGUCAGCUCGUGUCGUGAGAUGUUGGGUUAAGUCCCGCAACGAGCGCAACCCUUAUGACUAGUUGCCAGCAUUUAGUUGGGCACUCUAGUAAGACUGCCGGUGACAAACCGGAGGAAGGUGGGGAUGACGUCAAAUCAUCAUGCCCCUUAUGACCUGGGCUACACACGUGCUACAAUGGAUGGUACAACGAGUUGCGAGACCGCGAGGUCAAGCUAAUCUCUUAAAGCCAUUCUCAGUUCGGACUGUAGGCUGCAACUCGCCUACACGAAGUCGGAAUCGCUAGUAAUCGCGGAUCAGCACGCCGCGGUGAAUACGUUCCCGGGCCUUGUACACACCGCCCGUCACACCAUGAGAGUUUGUAACACCCGAAGCCGGUGGCGUAACCCUUUUAGGGAGCGAGCCGUCUAAGGUGGGACAAAUGAUUAGGGUGAAGUCGUAACAAG
rnacentral:rRNA from 1 species